GUCACUCUUGACUUCAGCUACCUUCUAUGUGACCCAUACUUGCUGUCUUUUUUAUUCGGCUUCUCUAGUUCUUUUUAGGGGGUGGAGUGGAGAGGGGUUUACAUACAACCGAGGCAAAGUGGUUUAGGAUUGAAUCGCUGAGGCAUUCUUAUCAUUUGAUAUAUCCAAGUCUAUAGCCUAUUUCCGGUUCACUCGAAGCUUCUGUAAGGCCCUUCUUUUUGCUACUGUUGGCACCCCUUUCGUUGGUGUGUUUUAGCCCUUAUUUGGCAGUGUUUUGACAGCAUCUUCAUAGCUCUACUCCAUUCGUUGUUCUGGACUGGUUCCCUUAUGAUUUGGGUUCGUUGAGCUCUUGUGAGUGAAAUACCUUGGUCAAUUUGAGCGGAACUACCUCGUAUGCAUUGAGUACUUGAUCUGAGCCUUAUAUAUUUCACUUUUUGGUUCUAUAUUCAUCACUAUUGGAAAAUGGGAGUACUUUACAAUCAUGGCAAUAUAUUUGAAUUAUUAUCAUCAUAUUGAACUAACGUAGUGUGGUUUAUUGAUUGAAGGUCACCAUUCAAUUCUACAAAGGGGUAUCAGAGCCAUUGAAGCUCGAUUUAGGAGUUGAUUUUCGAAUUUUGGGUGCUGAAAAUUCAGGUUGUCACUGGUUUUUCGGAUUUGUGAUCUAAAAAUUUAUAUUCACGUGUAUUCGGUGCAAUUAAGGCAUUGUUUAUUGAUUUUGCAAAAGGAAUUAAUUUUUAAAAUAAAAUUUGCAUCUUUCAUUGUUACUGACCACAUAUAGGUUCGCUCUAAUAAAUUGGUUGAAACUUUUACAUUACUACAAUAGUAGGUCAUUGUGUAAGGUUACCAAUAGGAUUGUGACCUUGCUUGCUACUAAAAUUUAGGAUUAUUUACCUAAAUUGCGAUAUUAUCAUAUUUGUGGAUAUUUAGAUGUUGUUUAAUAUUUUGCAUUGUUGUUGAGUGCUUUGUGAUAUUAGAAUUGUUAUCUUGACCUUACCCGCUCGACAAUUCCUUUGAGAUUGAGGUUCGAAUCUCACGAAAAUCCUAGGUAUUUAGACCGGUGUAUAACUACAACUCUUAGGACCUUAUUUUUGUGAUUUUUUUUUGUUGGUUGCUUACAUGCGACGUGUCUUAUUCAUUAAGAUGUCUGCACAUCAUUUUAACUUAGGUGUUUUUAAUGGAAAAUGUGAUUUUUCAAUAUGAUAACAAAAGAUGAAAGGAAUUUUAGUACAACAAAAAAUUUCAAAAGUAAUUGACAAUUUGUUUUCUACUACUGUAACCGAGGAUCAGAAAAAGGAAUUUAAUGAACUUGCAUAACCUCUAUUAUUUUCCACUUAUUUGAUUUCAUUUACAAUUGAUCCUUCAAAAGAAUUAGAUGACAAUCUUGAUGUUUUCAAUAAACCUGUGCAAGAUAUUAAUAACUGUGAUGAUAAUGUGUCUGAUGAAUAUAAGGCUAAUAUCCUAUUGAAUGAUAUUUCCGAUAUUUAUAAGAAAGUCAAGAAUGCUAUCAAAUAUGGGAGGGAGACACUUACACUUGAUGUGAUCAUUGAUUCCCUUAAGAGCAAGGAGAGGAAAAUGAAAGCUGAAAGAAACGCGAGAAAAAUAGGAAAUAUUCACCAAAUGAGAGGUAGAUCCUACUUUGAGAGUGGAGAGGGGCAAAACGAUGGUAGCAAAAAGAAAGGUAGAAAUAGGUCCAAAUCACAAGGAAAGGCAAAGGAGAGAAAAUAUUACAGUUGUGGAAAACUAGGACAUUUCAUUAGUGAUUGCAUAAAGAGAAAAACAAGUUGAGAGACCGAAGGGGUGGGGAACCCAGUGAGGCAAAAUGUUGUUGUCCCAAGAAAUGAAUCUGAUGAAGUUUGCAUGUUCCUAAACACUAAUUUGUUGGAAUAAACCUAUCUAUGAACUCCCAUAUGCAUGAGCGAAUUCUUACUCUGAUACUUCUUUUUAUGUUACUUCAAAUAAAAUGUGGUUUGAUCAGUUGCACGAGUUUGAUCACGGUCAUGUUGUUGCAUGGGGUAGAGUCACAUAUAAGAUCACUGGCAUGGGUAAUGUGACUGUCAGAUUUGACUGUGGUUUUGUGCACACACUAAAAGAGGUAAAUAUAUUCCACAUAUGGGCAGAAACUCGAUCUCUGUUGGGGAGUUAGAGCCACAGGUUUCACUGUUUUACUUGGUGAUGGUGUUAUAAAAACAUUUAAGUGGGGGUAUUUAGAGCCUUGAAGGCUACUAUGAGAAAUGGAUUAUACAUUACGCAUGCUAAGAUGAUGGGUGGUUUAAAUUCCACUAUCACUAACAUUGAUCAUACACAAAAAUAGCAUAAUAGGUUAGCUCAUGUUGAUGUUAAGAGAAAUAAGUUUCUUAAAUAUAAGGAUGUGUUUGGUAAGGAUCAGGUAUAUGACAUGCCAUUUUGCAAUCAUUGUAUGUUUGGUAAAUAUCGUAUGAUGUCUUUUGCAUAUCGCACACGUAAAACAUCAGUAGUGUUAGAACACAUUCAUUCUAAGUUAUGGGGUUAGGAAGUAAUCCCACUUUUUGUGGUAACAAGUAUUUUUUAUCCAUUAUUGAUGAUUUCUCUUGACGUGGGUGGAUUUUAUUUGUUUAAAGAUAAAUCUGAAACAUUUGUGAAUUGGAAAGUUAAAGUGGAAAAUCAAAUAGGUGAAAAUGUAAAAUACUUGCGUACUGAUAGCAAUGCUGAAAUUGAUCAUUUGUCUAAUCUAUCUGGCAUCACUAGAUAUAGGAUCGUGCCUUAUGCUUCUUAGCAAAACGGGAAUGCUGAAAGGAUGAAUCGUACUUUACUUGAUAAAGUUAGAUAUAUGAUGCUAAGCUCUGGUGUGCCUAAUUCUUUUUUGGGUGAAGUUGUUAUGACUACAUGCUAUUUGACUAACAUGACUCCUUCCGUUGCUUUAAAUUGUCAUACUUCAUGUGAGAUUUGGUAUAGUAAAUGUGCUGAUUGUUUUAUAGUUAGGACAUUUGGCUGUACUACUUUUUCUCAUCAAAGUGGAGGAAAACUAGAACCUAGAGUGACAAAGUGUGUCUUCUUAGGUUACCUUGAGAAAGUUAAGAAAAAUAGGUUAUGGAUAAAAACCAGAAAAAUGUGAGAAUAAUCAAAAGUCAUGAUGUCAUAUUAAAUGGGCCUGAGAUGCCUUGCAAAGAAAAUGAGGAGCAGCAAGAAAUUGUAAGGGAAGAAUCCCCUAUUGAGGUAGAGUGUGUGAAUAUCCACAUUCCCAAUACCAUGUGUGAGGUGAAGAAUGAUACACAAAAUCAGAAGACUCUAAAAGGUGAUGUAGUGAUGUAAAGGACAAUCCCACUGACCAAGACCCUCUAGCUAACUAUCAAUUGGCUAGAGAUAGAAAGAGGAGGCCAUAUAGGAAACCACAAAGAUUGUUUGACUAUACCAUAGCUUAUGCUAGUUACCAAGAACUAUUGGAUAGGGAACCAAUCAUCUACGAGGAAGAUGUGAUAAGUAAAAAAAAAAAGGUGGGUAAUGACUAGGUGCUAUGAAAAAAGAAAUGAGUUCUUUUAGUAAAAACCAAACUUACGAUCUAUUUAUGAGAUCUAAGGAUAAAUAUAUAAUGGGUUGCAAAUAGGUCUAUAAAAUUAAGUAGAAAACUAGUGAGAGUAAGCCCAUGAGAUAUGAGGCUAAGUUAGUAGUCAAGAGGUGUAUACAAAAAAUAAAUAAAGAUUAUAAUGAAAUAUUUUCUCCUAUUAUCAAGUAUACUACUAUUAGGGUCAUGCUUGCUUUUAUGAAUGGAAACUUGAACAACUUAAUGUCGAAACUAUUUUUUUGCACGGUGAUCUUGAUGAAAAUAUUUUUAUGUGUUUUUUUGUAGAAAUCUCUUUGUAAGCUAAAACAAUCGUUAUGUCAAUGGUAUAAGAAAUUUGAUUCUUAUGUGCUUUUCGUUGUUUAAAAAGGAGUGAGUUUGGCCAUUGCUUGUAUUACUUGCACCACAGCACUAACAAAGAGCAUGUAUCUAUUUGUUGCUUUAUAUAGAUGACAUAUGAUUACUUGGAUCUAACAUGAAGGUGGUAAACAAGAUUAAAAUGAAAUUAAGCAAAAAAUUUGAUAUGAAAGAUAUGAGACAUGCUAAGCGGAUCCUUAAUAUGGAAAUUAAAUGGGAUGGAAGUAAUUCUUGCUUAUAUAUGCAUCAAACUCCUUUUGUACCUCUUGGAAAUCAUAUAGUCUUAUCUAAAGACCAAUCACAUGCUAAUGAAAAAAGAAAAGAAUUUUAUGAGUAAUGGACUUACUCUAAUGGAAUAGGAUCUUUUAUAUACCUCUUGGUCUGCACUAAACCUGACUUGGCUUAUAUUGUGAGUGGUUAAGCAAGUAUUUGUAUAAUCCUGGUUUCAAAUAUUGGGAAACUUUAAAGUGGUUGUUUAGGUAAUUGAAAAAUACUUUUAUGAUGGGUUAAUUUAUAAGUCUAAUGGUAAUGGUUUAAAACUUAAAGGUUUCACGGAUGCUAACUAUAGUAGUGAUAGACAAUAUAAAGUCUACUUCCUCUUAUGUGUUUACAUUAUGUGGCUCUAGUGUGAAUUGGAAGUCCCAAUUGCAAAAUAUUGUUGCUUUAUCUACUGAAUCUGAGUAUAUAGUAGCCAUUGUAACUAUUAAAAAAUCUUUGUGAUUUAGAUGUCUUCUUAAUGAACUGGAUAAUUUAAGUGACAAUGUGACUAUAUACUCUGAUAGUCAAUCUUCUAUUUGUGUAUGUAAGACUCUUGUAUUUUUAUGAACGCGCUGAACAUAUAGAUAUUCGGCUGCAUUUUAUUAGAGAUGUGGUAUCUCAAGGAUUGAUAAAACUUGAGAAAUUGCAUUGUGAUUAUAACCCUGCAAAUAUGAGCACUAAGGUGCUACCUUUGACAAAGUAUAGAAGUUGUCUUACAAUCUAAAACAUUGGUAAAUACAUAUGACGUUUUAUUUUUUUAUUUUUUUGCAGGUAUAUUUGGCAUCAAGGUGAAGAUUUGUUUGGUAUUUUGAUAUCGAAUAAACUCGGUGUGAUAAUGCCUCGUUGGAUUGAAUUAAUAAUCAUAUGGUUCGUUUGAAACUUAUUAUUGAGACUAUCUUAAUAGUCGACCUAAUACAUACAAUAUUGGAGAGCCCAUCUUUCAAAGGUGGACUAGAUCUCAUUUAGGCCUUGCCCCAUUACAUAACCUAAAUGAUGCCCUAUAUAUGUUGGCCUCGCUUUGGUGUGUUUCAUAAUACAUGCUAUUACUCUCCCUAUUUCACUCUCCUCACACCAACUGUGGUUGCCCUCUUUGUGACCCAUAUUUGUCGUCUUCUUUAGUCGACUUCCCUUGCUCUUUUGUAAGGCCCUUUUUCUGCUAAUGUUGACACUCCUUUUGUUGGUGUGUUUUAGGCUAUUAUUUACAAACCCUAUUUUGCCGCGUUUCGACCGUCUUUUCACUACCUUAUUUCGUUUGCUAUUUCGGUUCAAUUUCUUUGUGAUUUGGGUUCGUUGAGGUCUUGUGGGUUAGAAACCUUGGUCCAUUUGAGUAUAGCUAUCUUAUAUGCAUUGGGGUCAUUGAUUUGAGCCCUAUAUAAUACACUUUGGGUUCCAUAUUCAUCAUCAUUUGAAAGGGAAGUUAUGUUUUACAUUCAUAGAUUGUAUUUAGAUUAUUAUCACCAUAGGUUUAUUGACUGAAGGUUACCAUUCAACUCUACAUAAAUAUUAAAAUCAUGACGAUAAAAAAUGUGAUUUAAAAGGAUUUUAUAGCACUUAAUAAGAGCAUUCAAAAAAUGUUAUAAUAAAGGUGCGACUUUUAAUAAUCCCACCUACAAUAUCAUUGGAGAAAACGUUAUAGAACAUGAUAGAUAGCAUUCUUCUCAAGCUAUAGAUGAGUUGACAUGUUUAUAUUAUUUUAGAAAAUACUCUUGUUGUUUAUUUAUUUAUUUUGAUAAACUACGCUAUUAAGUUCAUGUCUAAUUCUGUUAGAAGGUUAGUUUGCUUAAAAAAGACAUAAAAGAAUGACAUAAACUGCUACACUUUUAUAAUAUAUAUACGUUUAGAAUGUCUUUUUAUUAUGUAGUUACUUCUGUUGAGAUAAAAGUUCAUUUGCAUUGUAAAGAUGAGCAAAAC
rnacentral:lncRNA from 1 species